rnacentral:rRNA from 1 species
UACGUAGGUGGCAAGCGUUGUCCGGAUUUAUUGGGCGUAAAGCGAGUGCAGGCGGCUCGAUAAGUCUGAUGUGAAAGCCUUCGGCUCAACCGGAGAAUUGCAUCAGAAACUGUCGAGCUUGAGUACAGAAGAGGAGAGUGGAACUCCAUGUGUAGCGGUGAAAUGCGUAGAUAUAUGGAAGAACACCGGUGGCGAAGGCGGCUCUCUGGUCUGUUACUGACGCUGAGGCUCGAAAGCAUGGGUAGCGAACAGGAUUAGAU